UCCCUGUUGGCUUAGCUGGUAAAGAAUCUACCUGCAAUGUGGGAGACCUGGGUUCAAUCCCUGGGUUGGGAA
rfam:TPA: Bos taurus chromosome 4, whole genome shotgun sequence.